GUCCCUUCCUAAGCCAAGGCGCAGCACGCAGGUGCGGGCAGUAGACGCGCGCGUGCGCCCAGGGGCCGCUUAUCGCCAGGCCGCCUCUGCGGGUCCCCUGCAACGUGCGGGCGCGGCCAGAAGGAGGCCGGCGCGGAGCGGAGCCCGGGGAACGUGAGUCCUGACUGGCCGUUCCCCUCCGCUCUCACAGCCGGGCUCCGCGCUGCGGACAGAUGCAGAUACCGAGGCACUGAGACUGCCAGCAGCGUGCAAUGGUGGGAAUGUCCCCAAGGCAGAAGUGAAUCAAGAUUCUUGGAUGAUAAGAGCUCCAUUGAAAGAAAAAAGAUGCACUAAGUGAGGAAACCAACAUUGAACACCUACUCUACCAGGAACAUCAGAACAGGAAGGUACAUCCUUAACAGCAGUAAUUCAGGACUUAGCAAGCUCUCUGUUUUACCAACCAACCCUUUAAGUCAACAACCUCCUACUCAUCCAUUGGCACAUGUUUUCCUGAGUGAUAAUUGCCACUCUUCCCACAGGCAAAGAAUACCCAAACCCUUACCACUACUCCAUCCCUGUGAAAACUGCAACUCAGCUUCACCAGGAAAAAUAAAAGUCGUCGUAUUAAAAUGAAACUGAUUACACACCCUUCCUGACUAUAAAAAAAUAAGAAUAGCAUUUCAUCAUAUACAGAGGCAUUAUCAGGUGGUCAUAGCUAUGUCAAAGUAUAUGUCAUAUGUCAUAGCUAUGUCAAAGCAUAUGUCAUAUGUCAUAGCUAUGUCAAAGCAUGUGUCAUAGCAUAGUCAAAGCAAUGGUUUUUCCAGUCAUCAUGUGGAUGUGAGAGUUGGACCAUAAAGAAGGCUGAAUGCUGAAGAAUUGAUGCUUUUGAAUUGUGGUGCUGGAGAAGACUCUUGAGAGUCUCUUGGACUGCAAGGAGAUCAAACCAGUCAGUCCUAAAGGAAAGCAACCCUGAACACUCAUUGGAAGGACUGAUGCUGAAGCUGAAGCUCCAAUACUUUGGCCACCUGAUCUGGAGAGACUUGUUGGCAAAGACUCUGAUGCUGGGAAAGAUUGAGGGCAGAGGAUGAGAUGGUUAGAUAACAUCAUUGACUCAAUAGACAUGAGUUUGAGCAAACUCUGGGAGAUAGUGGAGAACAGAGAAACCUAGUGUGCUGCAGUCCAUGGGAUUGAAAAAGAGUUGAACACAGUUAGCAACUGAACAACACAACAAAUCAGGUAGUGAUUAAAAUUCUAGAUUCUAGAGGUAGAGCUGUGUAUGGAUUACUGCUUUAAACCAGUAACUGCUCAUGUGACUAAGUAGCUUGGCUUCUGUAUGCCUGCUUCACAGGGUGUUGUUAGACUUGUAUGAAUAAGACAAUGUAUUGCAGUGUUUUGAUGGUAGAUAGUAGUCAGUUGU
rnacentral:lncRNA from 1 species